UAGCCGUAAACGAUACUCGCUAGGUGUCGGCCACGGUGCGACCGUUGUCGGUGCCGUAGGGAAGCCGUGAAGCGAGCCACCUGGGAAGUACGGCCGCAAGGCUGAAACUUAAAGGAAUUGGCGGGGGAGCACCACAACGGGUGGAGCUUGCGGUUUAAUUGGAUUCAACGCCGGAAAUCUUACCGGGACCGACAGCAACAUGAAGGCCAGGCUGAAGACUUUGCCGGAUUACCUGAGAGGAGGUGCAUGGCGUAGUCGUGU
rnacentral:rRNA from 1 species